GCUGCGACCCCCCAGGGGGACGCUCUCCUCAAAUGCAUUGGUGCGGCCCGCCGCCCGGUUACACAACGUUCUAGGUUCGUCCAACUCGUUGAAGCCGGCGCAAAUCUGGCGCUGCACCUUAAGCCCGCCCUGAGCCUCGAGCUCCUGGCAUAACUUCAUUUAUUGACCUCAGAUCAGGUAGGAAUACGCGCUGAACUUAA
rnacentral:misc_RNA from 1 species